rnacentral:rRNA from 1 species
GACGAACGCUGGCGGCGUGCUUAACACAUGCAAGUCGAACGGAAAGGCCCUGCUUUUGUGGGGUGCUCGAGUGGCGAACGGGUGAGUAACACGUGAGUAACCUGCCCUUGACUUUGGGAUAACUUCAGGAAACUGGGGCUAAUACCGGAUAGGAGCUCCUGCUGCAUGGUGGGGGUUGGAAAGUUUCGGCGGUUGGGGAUGGACUCGCGGGUUAUCAGCUUGUUGGUGGGGUAGUGGCUUACCAAGGCUUUGACGGGUAGCCGGCCUGAGAGGGUGACCGGCCACAUUGGGACUGAGAUACGGCCCAGACUCCUACGGGAGGCAGCAGUGGGGAAUAUUGCACAAUGGGCGGAAGCCUGAUGCAGCAACGCCGCGUGCGGGAUGACGGCCUUCGGGUUGUAAACCGCCUUCGCCUGUGACGAAGCGUGAGUGACGGUAAUGGGUAAAGAAGCACCGGCUAACUACGUG